ensembl:lncRNA
UUGCUCUCUUCCUCUUCCUCCUUCUCUCUUCUCUGGAGCCGCCAUGAGCCCAACAAGAGAGGAUGCCAGCAUCCUUGAUCAGAUAAGUCUUAUAAAAUAUAUAGAUUAAUAAUUAUGGUUGAUACUUAAGACAGAGAUAGAAGAUAAGAAAUCCUAGUCAUUGGCCAGCAGCAUUGUACCUACUAUAAGUCUCUGUGUGUUAUUUUCGCUGCCCACAUGUGGCGUGGCUCAGGCAGCUUGGUGUAAAAACUUUUCAUUACAAAAUGGUGUCAGAAGAUUUAUUGUCACAGCUGUUGUUUUGUUUUGUUUUCCCCCUUGAAGUUUUGUUGUUUUUGCACUUAAAAAUUUAUAUUAUUUAUUGUGUGUGUGUGCCUGUCCAUAUGUGUGAAGGUCAGAUGACAACUUUUGGGGGUCGAUUCUUUCCUCCUAUGUGGGUCUUGGGGAUUGAACUCCAGUUGUCAGCCUUGGCAGCAAGCACCUUGACCCUGUGAGCUGUUUUCCAUCCUCUCUCCUCAGAUUUUAAAUAUUUUGUUCAGUAGCUUGGGAUAUUUAUUACCAGAGCAAAUUUGUUGUUUAUUGCUACUUGAGACAGUGCUGUAGCCUAGCCUCAAACUCCCAGUUCUGCUUCCUCUACCUACUGAGGGGCAGGGUUACAAACACUGGCUACCACAUCCAGUGUAAUGCAGAGGCCAGAGAUGGAAGCCAGGCCUUUAUACAUCCUAAGUAAGUAAGUGUUUAACCAACUGAGCAGCACACCUAUUCCCUAUCCCUAGGUUUUUAGAUGAGAUGGCACACAAAGAGGUUAAGUAAACCAUGUUAAGUUGCACAGCUGGGAAGUGCCUGAGGCAUUUUGAAACUAAGUUAUUUGCUGUGAAGAGCCCAUUGGAUGACUCACCUUAUUUGUGGCUCUUAAAUCUGUUGACAUUAUCCAUUUUCCAAAUUUCUUUUUAAUAACAAAUAUAGGAGAAUUCCAAGGAUUGGUUGAUUCUUCAAUAUUUUUUUUAAAGAUUUUUAUUUAUUAUGUAUACAACAUUCUGCUUCCAUGUAUAUCUGCACACCAGAAGAGGGCACCAGAUCUCAUAAUGGAUGGUUGUGAGCCACCAUGUGGUUGCUGGGAAUUGAACUCAGGACUCUCUGGAAGAGCAGCCAGUGUUCUUAACCUCUGAGCCAUCUCUCCAGCCCCAAUUCUUCAAUAUUUUAAGCAUUUAGCUCCUCUUGUACCAGCUUUCUAAGGCCUGUAAUUUUUCUGAUGUCAAAGGCCAUUGUUCUACUCACACUGGUUUGUCAAUUAACCAUUUCGAAAGUAGGGCUGUUGGUACUUUUGAAGAAUCAGCUGUUAUGCCUUAGUUGUGUGUAACCUGAACAGUCAGUGAUUGUUCUUGAUAAUACCUUUUUAUUUUCCUUUUUCUUUCUGUUUUUUUUUGAGACAGGGUUUCUCUGUAUUGCUUUGCAGGCUGUCCUAGAACUCACUCUGUAGACCAGGCUGGCUUGAACUCACAGAGAUUCGCCUGUCUCUGCCUCUCAAGUGCUGGGAUUAAAGGCAUGCACCACCAAUGCCCUGGUUUGAUAAUACCUUUUAAUAUUUUUCUCAGAAGCAUACAUUAGAUUAUGGUUUGUUUCUGAGAUUGGAGGAUUGUUAAUCUGUGUUUUCCAUUGCUGCAACAAAUCAUGUCCCUAUAAAUUCAUUGCUAUGUUAGCCACAUGUGGUUAUAAUUUUCCUGUCUGUCCUUCUGGCCCUAUGCACUCCACCCAUCUUGCACUCUGUUUUUACCUGGGAUAAAAUUCCAAUCUCUACAAGCUGAACAUUUACUGCCUGAAGAGGCCAAUCUGGAUGGAUGCCAAGAUUGUGGUGCAGGUAUUGUUACAUCUGCACCCGUUUCUACCAAGCCCUCAAUUUCAAUGUGAUUUAUUUGUAUUUUUAGCUUUGGUCUUUGAUCAUUUAUAGCAGUUUGAAUUAUCUCUAAAAGAAAACUUGGUUCUAGGUACACAUUUCCUAAAAUCUCUUUUCAGAUGACCUUAUUUACCACAAUUAAAAAACAUCUGAACUUUUGAUUUUCUUAAAAUUUUUAGAAAUGACUUCUCCUAUCCAAGUAUUAUCAUAAAUGUGAGAUCCAAUGUCAGCUGUAUUUCAGAUCCUUUCAACUAUGGGUGCUGAUCUUGUCUUUAAAGACCUAAUCACCUUUUGCAUUCUGAAUUAGUACCUUAAAAAGCCAAAGAUCCAAUUAAUAUUUGUCUAACUUCUGGAUCUGAUAUCAUUCUAUUUAUAGCUGAAGUUGAUCUUUGUGAAAAAUCAGUGAAAGCUUCUUUUGGGUCUUGUAUAAUUUUAGUAAAUGACUCAGUCCUCUUUCCUGAUUCUUCAACCCUGUCUCAGGCAUUCAAAGCUGCUGCAUGACAUAGAGCCAAGGUGUGAUCAUCAAAUGCAGACUGUCUUUGUGAAUCAGCCUAGUGGCCUUUACUGAGAAGCUGAUCUUGGAACAUUUCAUACCUCUACCUCUACUUUGUUGUUUUAUGACUCUAGCUUCCACUCUCCUUCAUUUUUUUCCCAUUGUAGCUGAAAAAAGCUUCCAAUAUUGCUGUAGCUAAAUCUCUCCAGUCUUGUGGAAUAAUUCUUUCCCUAGUUGUCCAUGAAUUUAACAUCUGCUUCAUAAAGGGUGAAUGCAUGCCAUAUGAAAUGACUUCUUCCUUAAAUCUCCAAAUCUAAUGUUUCUACAGGAUCCCAGUUAACUUCUACAUAGCCUUGGAGGUACCUAUCAUCUGGUGGUCUUUUUUGUGUGGUAAUUGGAUAAAUGGAGGUUGGUUUUCUAAUAACCUUGGGCAGCUCCUCUUCAGUUUCAUCAUGCAAUGGUGUGGGAGGUUCUGCUCUAAAUUCCUCUGUCUAUGUCAGAGCAUUUUUCUUAUUUUCAUUAGUAUGUCUUUGUAAAUAUUUUUUCCUAUCAAUAGUAAGUCCUUCUAAGACUUGUAUAUUAUCAGCCAAAUUUUUAUCUUUGUUAGUAAGUCUUUCUAAGACUAGUAUCUUAUCAAUAAAACUUUUCUUAUUUUCAUUGAUAAGUCUUUCUAAAGCUUGUAUCUUAUCAACAGUAAGUCUUUCUAUGUUGUGUAUCUUUUCAGUCAUAUUAUCAUAAUUGGCACAGUUAUCAAACUACGUUUUUUUAAGGGUAAAAUAUUAAUUACCAAACUGAUAGUAAUUACAAUCUAUAUUAUGCCAAUCCCAGCUAUGUCAUUUAUCUCUUCAUUUAAAUUUUCCUUCUCAAACCAUCCAUAGUAGCACUAUACAGGGUCCUAGCACCCUGUAUUGUAAUGUUCCCCAUCCUUUAGGUGGGAAGGAUUUUUCUUUUUGAUAUUAUUCCACUCUCUCCUAAAGGACUUCCCAGAUAUCUCACCAAGUCUGCUGACUUCACAGUUUUUCUGUGGUGUUGGUGGUGAACUCAAGGCCCUCUUGCAGUUUCUAAGCAUGAACCUGCUUUCUAAAGUUCCAGCAUCCAUGGGAGAGCUGCUGGCAUGACUUCUCUGUCCAUGUGGUCAUGCCAUGCAGAAAGCACCAAAUGUUUUAUCUUUGGCACAGUGGCUGUGCCUUAAUCUACUGCUAUUUCAGCCAGAAAUUGCUGCUCCACAGUUACCAGCCUGCUUCUCUGGCAGCAGUCUGGCUAUAGCCUGGUGGGAAUUCUGUUCCUACAGGCACUGACUCUGCCAUUGCCACUAAUGAUAGCUUUUUUUUUUAUUUUUUGAGACAGAGUUUCUCUGUGUAGCUUUGGAGCCUAUCCUGGCACUCGCUCUGUAGACCAGGCUGGCCUCGAACUCACAGAGAUCCGCCUGCCUCUGCCUCCCGAGUGCUGGGAUUAAAGGUGUGCGCCACCAAUGCCCAGCCCACUAAUGAUUGCUUUAACUAAAUCUCUGUUGUUCUGUUUAUAAACAAGACUUGAGAUUCUGAGGCUAGCUCAGAGAGGUUGAGUAGCAAGCAACUAACCUUCUCUUCUUCCUAGUGUCUCCCAAACAGUAUGUUUCUUCUGGUCUGCCAAAACAAAAAGAAGCUGCACCGCUGAAAUCCCUCCCUUCUCCUUCCGGUGCAUCUCUCUGUCUCUCCCAGAUGUCCUCUGAUGCUUUAUAACUUCCUGUCAAUUAGUCAAACUCAGCUUUCAGACUCAAGGUUAACUUUAUUUAAUUAAUGAAAAUGCUAACUAGGGGUUCACAGUGUGAUCGAAUAUCCCUUAGUAGCUGGUUAUAGCGCAUAGUGGGCUGGCUUAUGUCCUCUUGACUAGAUGUGCCUAAGAACCCCCAAUGUGAGCAGAUUUGGAAAGUAAGCCUGCAGGUGUCAUACAGAUACAGAUAGCCUCUGAGAGGAUGCCAUCUGGGUUAGUGUAAGUCCUAAGAGAUGCACAAGAGAGAGGAGUCACAGGAAGACAAGCCAAGGAACACUGGGAAGAGCCAAAAGCCAGAAGAGUGCAGCCCUGCCCAUGCCUUGCUUUGGGACCUCAAACUUCCAAAAGCUGUAGGAGAAUAAAUUCUUUAAAAAAGGAUUCAGUUUAAUUUUAUACAUAUGAGUGUUUGGCCUAAAUAUAUGUGUGUGCACACCACAGGUAUGCAGUGUCUGUGGAGGCAGGCCAAGAGACGGUGUUGGAUCCCCUGGAACUGGAGGUUCAGAGGCUUGUAAGUGGGUGCUGGCAACCAAAUCUAGGUCCUCUGGAAGAGCAGGGGGUGCUCUGAGCUGUCACUUUCUUGCCCGUUAUGGUCACCUUUUAUCCACAGCCAUAGAAAAACAUACAGAGGCCCUCUAAAGCCUUAAGGAAGCCAGGCAUGAUGGCAUAGGCCUUUAAUUCCCGUACCAAGAGGGCAGUGCAGAGGCAGGUGGAUCUCUGUGAGUUUGAGGCCGGUCUGGCCAACAUAGUGAGUUCUAGGUUAGCAUGGCUAUAUGCUGAGACCUUGUCUCAUUAAAAAAAAAAAAAAAAAGGACACAGGCAUUUAAUGUCCCCCCCACCCAAGACCUUAAGUAUCCUGGGACUCUGCUACGGGCUGUGUGUGUGGGCUGCACACCAGGUCCUCAGUUUAUCUGCAUUCUCAGCUUCUUUAACACAGGCAUACACAUCACAGACACACACAUACACACACACACACACCAGUGACAGGCCUGUCUCUGCAUAGUGAUGCAGCCCUUGCUUUCUGCUGUCAGCAAGCCUCAGCAGUUCAGGAACCCUGGCCUCCCUACUGACAGUGGGUGACUUGAGUGGCUCCUGCUUGCCAGGGUACAGGACCAGGGUCACGGUUUUCUGUUGAAGAAAGAGUUUAGGGUUUGAUAAAUGCCCAUUUAAUGCUGGUCCAGAGCUGGCUAACCACCAGCACAACCGUUGAUGGGGAAUGUACUGUGUAUGUUUAUCUUAUUGAUUGUUAAAUAAAAUACUGUUUGGCCAAUGAGACAGCAAGUAGACGGGACUAGGAGUCAAAGAGGAUUCUGGGAAAUGUAGUAGAGAAGUCUGAUCCAGGCAGGAAGUGACAUAGAAAGGAGACUCAUAUUUAAGCUAAGGAGAAACAGGAAGGGUCCCUUUUUCCCCUCCGCUCCUGCUCCAGUGAUCCACCAGCAAGGAGGGACGCCAAUAAGGUGUCCGAUAAGAUAAGUCUUAUAAAAUAUAUAGAUUUAUGAUAAUUAAGACUGAGUCAGCAGAUGAGAAUCCUAGUCAUUGGCCAAGCAGCUUUGAACCUAAUACAGGUUUCUGUGUAUUUAUUUGGGCCUAACUCGGGCAGGCGGCUGGCGUAAAGCUCGCACGUGGCGGUGGGGCUCAAGCAGCAUUUGGCAGAAAGAUUUAUCAUAACAAACUAUCAUCAUAGUUAGAGAGGGGUUGGGGGCUGAGGCCCUGUGGUCCUUCCUCCCUGACUCAAGCCUGAUUUUGCCCCAUAACCCUUCUUGGGCUAUAAUGCUGGAGGAAGCAAGUAGCACCCUGAAAAGGAGGGUUUCGGGAUACCCGGGGCCUUGUGGGGAGCUGGGGACACCGGCAUGUGGAUGGAGUUGUACACAAAGUGGAGAGAGGAGAGUGGCUGGCUGAUGAGGCCUAAAUGACCUCAGGUGCCCAGGCCUCAGGCACGGAAAGGGCAGCUAUCGCACAGUGGUAGCCCCACAGUCCCACAGGAUCUGCUGAUGUGUGUGUGUCUGUGUGUGUGUUAAAGUAUGUAAAGAACGUAACAUUUACCAUCUCAACCAUUUUAAGUGUAUGGUUUGCAAAUGGCAUUACUCAUAUUUUAGAGUCUAUUUAUUUUCCCUUCUGUGAUGCUGGGAUUUGAACCCAGGGUCCUCCUUGCCCAUGUUAGGCAAGUGAGCUCUACCACUGAGCAGAAGCUCCAACCCUGCUUUUGCUUUUUAUUUUAAGACAGGGUCUCACCAAGUUGUCCAGGCUGGCCUUGAAUUUAUAAUCCCUCUGCCUCCACAGCACGAGUAACGAGUUUUGCCCCAAAGCUUAAUGACUUCAAAUCUCAACCCAUUAUUAAUCACAAACUACUAUAUUAUAGAUAAUAUGAAUCUAUUAUGGACUAUCUGGUCUCUUCAUUUUGAGGGUCAGAACUUAUGAAUCUGUAUAUUUUGAAAAGGGAUCUCACUGUGUGGCUCUGGCUGACCUGGAACUUGCUAUGUAGACCAGGCUGGCCUUGAACUCACAGAGAUCUACCUGUUUCUGCUUCACGUUCUGGGACCAAAGGUGUGGGCCAUCAGACAUGGAAUCAUAGCUUCUCUCUGUAGUCCAGACUGGUCUUGCAUGCUCUAUGUUGCUCACGUGGCCUCCAUUUCUCUUCUCAUCUCUAACUUUCCAAGUGCUGCCUCCCCCACCUCAGGGUGCCUGACUCAAGCUUUUCUGCUGUCUCAAAGACAGACAUACAAAUGCUUCCUGCCACCCCACUCACAAAAGUAAGUUUCAGAAUGACCAAUCCAAAAUGAUGGCCUGAGCACUGAGCUUGAUGGAAGCCACAUAUUAGACCCCAGUAGCGAUGUAAAGGUGUGCAUGCAGGUGGUCCCCAUGUCUCAGGGAAAAGGAGGUAAAUAUGAUCAGAUCAGAGUCUUUUUUAAAAAUGUAAAUGUAUGUAGGAUCAGUGGGAUGGCCUGAGUUAAGGAGCUUAACAUCGUUUCUGGUGACUCGAGUUCACUCCCCGGACCUACACGGUAGAAAGUGAGAAUGGAUUCUAGCAAGACAUCCUCAGCCCUUCGCUCACAUGCUGUGACAUGUACAAGUCCCUCUCCCCAAAUAAGUGCAAUGAAAAAUUAAAAACACACGUGGGGGGCUGGAGAGUGGGUGGUCAGUGGUUAAGGGCACCUGUUGCUCUUGCAGAGGACCCAGGUUCGAUUCCUAGCAGCUAACAAUCAAUCACCUGUAAUUGUCGUUCCAGUGGAUCCCUUGUCCUCUUCUGAUCUCUGAGGGCACCAAGCAUUCUUGUGCUACAGACAUGCAGGCAAAACAUUCACAAAAAAUUAAAUAAAGCUCAUAAAGAAUUUCUGAAAAAUUUUAAAAUAUAUGUAAUUUAUUUAGUUAUAAAAAGCAAACAGAUGCUCACCAGGGAAAAUUGCCUGGUUUCUGUUGGAUGUGGUGGUGGAAAUACUUUGAUAUUACCAUACAGCGAGGAUGGCAGCUGGAGCACUCCUUUAAUAAAAAUAAUGUCCUGAAGCCAGGUGUGCUGGAGAAUGUCUUUAAUCUAAGCACCUACAAUGCAGAAGCAGGAGUCUCGCUGAGUUCAAGGCUAGAGAUGUGCAGUGAGACCUGUUUGGAAAAAAACAAAAGCUUUUGUCUCUAUCCUCUAAGCCUACACAGGUUUAAACAUCUCAGAGAUAACUGUGCGUUUCUCAAUGAGGCCGAGGAACUAAGACGUGUCUUCUUGUAGAGCUCUGCUUUUCACUUCCUCUUUUUGUCUGUUGACCCCAAAGACCACUUUCCAACUAUUCCAAAACCAGCUCAGAGGAUUCUGGAGCUGGCUCAGUUGGUGAAGUGCUGGCAGCACAGGCCCUGGGACCCGAGUUCAGGUCCUCUUCACCUCUGUACUUGGCAAGCAUCAGUAAUCCUCGCACAGGGGCGGUGGACACAGGAGGAUUCCUGGGUGGCUAUCCAGGCUGUCUGAAUCAGUGAGCUCCUGGGCCAGUGAGAGACCCCAUCUCAAACAACAGUGGAGAGUGAUUGAAGAGAAUACAAGGUGUUGACCUCUGGCCUCUACACCCACCAUGUGUGUACUCGCACACUACACAAGUUCACACACACACAGAGAGAGAGAGAGAGAGAGAGAGAGAGAGAGAGAGAGAGAGAGAGAGAGAGAGCCACUGAAGUUCAUUUUUGAGUGCAGUUUUCAUGUGCCAAGGUCUCAUACUAGCUCAGGCUGGUUAUAGACUUUUACACUUGUGAUGAGCCUCCUGCUUUAGCUUUCCAAGUGCUGAGAUGAUUGUCAAGAGUGACGUGUCCAACUAGGCCCUGAGGUCUUAACUGGUCAAUUUUUAGAACACAGAGAGUACAGUUUUACAAACUAAGCAGCACACUGAUAUUACGGUGAAUAACUAAUACAUAGCCCCUAAGGUCAGGAUAUCUCUAAUAGGUAAAGGCCAACCAACAGGAAACUAGAUCCAGUCGAAGCAGCAGAGAAAAGAGAGAUACCAUGUGCCUUAGCUAUCCCUUUAAAUUUUUUUCUACAUCACCUUGACCACACCCUAGUGGGUGUGGUUGGGCACACUUGUAGCCAGCCGUUAGGAGGAGUGAUUAUGGUGUCUCCCUACAUACUGAGUUUAAAGGGUCUGGCCACUAUCACUCUGCUUUAACGGUCUAGCUCAACCCCUUCUUCCUCUCCCAUCCUUUGUAGUGUCUUUAGGAACAGGUUUGCUCACUCUCAAGUUUCUAGAUGGACCAAGGCUCUAGGCAAUUAAGAAUAAAUAGUAUCGCCACCUGCAUUUUAGAAGGAGGGAGUGUGAGAUUCUAUGAGGUUCAGAUAUCAUGACCAGGGUCAAGGUCAAACAGCUUGUUUAACCAAAGUUUAUGUCCAUAGCUCCUCUAGAAUAAGACUGUACUGCUGAACCAAGUAUGAUGACACACAAUGGUCUCUACUCAACAGAAUCAGGCGGGGGAAGCAGGAGGAUUGUUAUAAGUGAGAGCCAGCCCAGUCCCAUUGAGAGUCCCGGCUAGUUAGGGUUGCCGAGUGAGACUCUAUCUUUAAAACAAAACAAAACAAAAACAAAGGUCAGGUGUGCUGACGCACACCCUUAUUCCUAGCCCUCAUGAGGCAGAGGCAGAGGCAGGCAGAUCUCUGUGAGUUCAAGGCCAACCUGGUCUAUGAAGUGAGUUCCAGGACAGCCAGGGUUACACAGAGAAACUCUGUCUCGAAAAACAAAAACAAAAAAAACAAAACAAAACAACCCCCCCAAAAAAAAACAAAAAAAAAGAGAAAAAAAGAAAAGGAAAAAUUAUAUUUCAUCUCCUCUGCUUUAGGCUCUUUUUCUUAUUUCCGUGGUACAGUACUCGGACAAUACAAAACAAGUGGAGUGAGGAAGAGUUUGUCUUUGCUCACAGUUGCAACGUAAAGUCCAUCACUGUGGGAGGGCAUGUAUAGGUGCUGCAGGGAGCGGGGCCUCCCGUAAUCACACCCAAGGGGCUGAGAAGAAUUCUGGGGCUCAGCUUGUGCUCUCCCAUUUUGUUAUUUAUUUAUUUAUUUGUUUGUUUGUUUAUUUUUUGAGACAGGAUCUCACUGUGUAGACCCAGCUAGCCUGGAACCCGAUCUGUAGACCAGGCUGGACUUGGUUUACAGAGAUCCGCCUGCCUUUGCUUCGCAAGUGUUGGAAUUAAAGGUGUGUGCCAGUGGUGGUACCACUCUGGGUUAAACUGUCCAGGAUCCCCGGGCAGGGAUUGACCCCUCCCACUGUGGGUGGAGCUUCUCACCUCAAUGAAAGCAACCAAGGUGAUUCCCCACAGGCAUGUCUGGUGAACCAUUUACCCAGUGAUUCUAGGUUCUGUCAAGUUGGCAACGCCAAUAUUAUGGCCUCCUUUCUAGAUCUUUCCCAGCCUUGCACACUCACGGUCUCUGCUUGCAUUGGUUACCUUUUUUCUGCUUGUAAUGAAAUACCAGAUAGAAGCAACUUAGGAAGGAAGGCUUUAUUUCGGCUAGCCAUGGUGGGAAGGCAGGGGAGGGUGGCUUUUGGCUGUGGUGGCAGAGCAUAAGGUUAUCCCAUACUUGUCUGCACCAGGAAGCAGAGCUGGGACAGGAAAUGGGUCUGGGCCAUAAACAUGGAGUUGGGUCUCCAGUGACCUACUUUAUCCAGCGAGGCUCCAUCUCCUAAGUAUUCCACAGUCUCUCAAAAUACCACCUGUGUUCUAACGAGAGGGCCUGUGGGGGCCUUCUCACAACCAAAUCAUAAUCUCACUUGAAUAGCUGAUAAGCAACUGAGAUGGUUUUUAAAAAUAUUUGCAAAUCAUGUGUUAUGACUUCAGAGAGUGGAGCUAAAUUUCCCAUUUCGUGUAGGGGGGUUGAGUUGAUAAUUAGAUUAUACCUGACACAGUACAGUCCUGACUGGAAUGAUGGAAUAUGAUUUCUGAGACUAGGUAUUGAGAUAGUGUGAAUAUUGCCUUGACUUUUGGGUGGCUCAGGGGCAGCAAGGAAUUGAAAUUCCCUGCCAGAAGUGCGGGGUGCCAUUUUGGGGGUGGGACAGGUGCCAUUUUGAAAGUGGGACAGGUGCCAUUUUGAAAGUGGGACAGGUGCCAUUUUGGAAGUUGGUCCUCUCCCCCUAGUUGAGCCUUCAGAUCCUGCAACCUAAGGUGACCUCUAGACUGCCUCCUGAAAGGCCCUCAGGAGAACUGCCUCUGCUUUUCUCACUUAGACUAAUAGAAACGUAGACAAAAUGUUAUGUUAUGUGCUGGGGAAAUUUAUUAUGUAGCAUUAACUGGUAGAGCAUUUCCAAUGUGACGUGUCAAAGUUGAACUUCUGAUCUUCCCUCUGCAAACAUAAUCCUCCAUGCUCAGGAAACAGCAGUGCCAGCCUUUUGAUAUUUUUAAUCUCAGGCUAAGACCUUGAAGUCAUCCUCAGAGCCCAUCUUGCUUUCACAACACAAAUCUACCAUAAGGCCAAUUGUCAUGGUUUUAAUUGAAAAAUGUGCUUAAAACCCAACCAUGUCUUCCUAUAUCUUUAGUUACCACAGCUACCCUGGUCCACCCCAGCAUACUAGGCUGAUGGCAUCAGGUCUCUACCCAACCUUUCUUCUUUUGUGGUUCUGAGACUCAAUUCCAAGUGCAGUAUCCAGAAGCAUCCUUUGAAAACACAGGCCAGGCCUGUGAGGUGGACCCAUUGGUAAAGUGUUUGCUGGGCAAGCCUGAAGACCCGAGUUCAGAUCCCUCUCCAUGUAAAAAGGAGCCAUGGGGGAACAUGUCUGCUUGUGGAAGCAGGGACAGAGAGUCCCAAGGGCUCCCUAGCUAGCCCAUCUAGCUGAGUGGCUAAGCUCUGAGUUCAGUGGGAGACCCUGUCUCAAAUAGGUGGUUUUGAGUGACUGAAGAAAACACCUGAUGUGGUUAGAUCUCUGGCCUGCCUGCACACGUAAUGUAUACAUGUAUGCACGCCCACAUGCACAUGUGUACACAACUGCACACAUAUGUGCAUUUGAAGGGGCCAGCUCCCCAUUUCGGCAGCCAUAACAGCCGAACACGUGCUUGUCUGACCUUGCCUUGGUCACUAGGAGGUCAGAUGCCUGCCUUGUGGCAAGGAACCAAUCAGAAGUUAGCUGGUGGUGCUAUGCUUUACAACUCAGGGUGUGCUUUAUGGACACGUGAACAGCAAUGACGCACAGAGCAUAGCAACCACCCUGGGAGGGCCUAUGGGCCAUAACAGCCAGUUGACCAAUCAACACAGGGUAAACCCUCCAAGCCUGGAGGCACACCAAUCCUGAGCCUGUGGGUACCCCUAGACACUCCCCUUACACUGCCCUACAAGAUCUCUAUGCAGACGUUUCGAGCUGUCUUUCCUAGCCGUCCGCCAUGGCAGGUGGAUGAAAGACCCGAGCUAACAUGGGGUUAGCUCGUUAAACAACUACAAUAAAGCCUCGUGCUGUUUGCAUCAAGCUUUCGACUCUGCCUGGUGAUUGGGGUCAUUGCAGUCCUGGACUGAGAUCCUGGGGGCCUGAGCCUCUGGGGGUCUUUCACAUCCAUUAACACACACACAGAAAACACCCAAAACGGUUUCCUUACAGUUACCCUUCCUUCAGAUCUGUGAACUGCACCCCCCUCCCCCUACUUCUUAGUUCCUUGUUCAGAUGCCCCUUCUCAGUGAAGCCCCUGGGCAGUCUCUAGUUUUUAUUUCAUUCAUUUACUUGUGUUCUUUCUUAUUUUUCACAACAGCAGCAUCACAGUCAGGGUUUCUACUGCUGUGAUGGACACCAUGACCAAGGGCAACUUGGGGAGGAAAGGGUUUAUUUGGCUUAUACUUCCACAUCACUGUUCAACAUUGAAGAAGUCAGGACAGCAGCUCAAGCAGGGCAGGAACCUGGAGGCAGGAGCUGACACAGAGGCCAUGGAGGGGAGCUGCUUACUGGCUUGCUUCCCAUAACUUGCUCAGUCAGCUUUCUUAUUGAAGCCAGACCACCAGCCCAGGAAUGGCCCCACCCACAGUGGGCUGCCCCCCCCCACACUGAUUAAGAAAAUGCCCUACAGGCUUGCCCGCAGCCUGAUUUUACAAAGGCAUUUUCUCAGAGUUCCCUCCUCUUUCAUGACUAUGCUUAUGUCAAGUUUACAUAAAACUAACCAGUAUAAACAACUUAUUUUUUUUUUGUCUGUCCUGGAACUUCCUUUGUAGACCAGGCUGGACUUGAACUCAGAGAGAUCUGCCUACCUCUGCCUCUGGAGCGCUGUGCUUAAAGGUUUGUGCCACUGCUGCUGCCCAGCUAUUACCAAUUUCUUAACAAGGCAAGGUUGUUGCCUAAUUUGUAUGAUGCUGUUGGAUCCCCAGCACCUUCCUUUUUUCCUAGAAGUCCAUUAUUUUAUUUUAAUUUAUUACUAUUGUGUGUGUGUUUGUGUGUUCGUGUACAUGCCAUAGCACAAGUGUGUUGGGUGUCAGAGGACAGCUUUGGGGAGUCAGUUCUUUCUUCCACUGCGGCUGCUGGGGAUGGAACUCAGGUCAUUUAGACUCGAAGAGCAAGCCUUUAUUAUCUGCUGAACCAUCUCACUGGCCCCACUUUUGUUUUAAAAACUGUGGUGCUCAGCUUAUAUCUGAGCCACCUGGGAACGUUGAGCAAUCCAAACGCCCAAGACACCCAACACAAUCACGGGUCCCCAGCUGGUGUCAGAAGGAACCUAGGAGGUAGGAGGAGGCAUCCCUGUGACUCCCCAUUGCAUUUGUCUUCUAAUCUCUCUGCAAAAUAUAUUAUUUCUGCUUUAACAGAGGCAAGGAAAAUAGUAAAGUACAUCGAAAUUGGUUUGUAUUAAAAAAAACUCCUCCAUACUUAGGGUAAUAAAUUACAGACAGAGGAUCCAAUAUAGGCUAUAAAUUGAGUAUUUUAGUGUGAGUAGAGCUGUAGUGAGUGUUCCUUUGGGGAUUAGGGUUUAUUUCCUAAGCUUUUGUUCACUACGUCAUGAGUCUUUUCAAUAAAAACGAUCUCUUUGGCUGACGGCUAGAUGAACUCUGCAGUGAAGAAGGGGAUUAUGGGGUGUGGUUCACUUUGAAAGCAACUCUGGGAAGAUGUUUCAUGGCCAAAUAUUUACUAAGGUCCCCUAACAGGCCUGGGGAAUCUCAGAGUCCCCAGAACAGCAGUUUUCAAGCUGUGGGCUGUGACCUUUUUGGGGGUCACAUAUUAGAUAUCCUGCAAUCAGAUAUUUACAUUAUGACAUAUUACAUAACAAUAGCAAAAUUACAGUAAUAAAGUAACUUUAUGGUGGGGGGGGUCACCACAGCAUAAGGAGCUGUAUUAAGGGGUCACAGCAUUAGGAACCACUGCCCUAUCAGGAAGGUCUAGGUGAACUCAUGCCUUAGAUGAUGAACCUAUCCUGGUGAUAACAACAUUCAUUCCCUGGCAAGAUCUAAUUGCCUUUAAAAAUAUUUCUUUUAUUGGGACUGGAGAGAUGGUUCCAGGCUUUACAGUAUUUAUUGCUAUUGCAGAGAACCUGGGCUUAAUUCUCAUCCCCUACAUGGUGGCUCGAAACAUCUGUGGCUCCCGUCCCAUUCUCAGUGAUUUCACACUGUCUUUUGGUGACAUGGUGACACACACACACACACACACACACACACACACACACACACACACGACACUCCUACCUCUGUGUGUGCCUGGGGUCUAUUGUUCCGAGCACCUUGUGGGUGCUGGGAAGCAAACUCAGGUCCUCCAGCAGGCAGUGUUCUUUUUUUUUUUUUUUUUUUUUUAGAUUUUAUUUAUUUAUUAUGUAUACAACAUUCUGCUUCCAUGUAUAUCUGCACACCAGAAGAGGGCAGCAGAUCUCAUAACGGAUGGUUGUGAGCCACCAUGUGGUUUCUGGGAAUUGAACUCAGGACCUCUGGAAGAGCAGUCGGUGCUCUUAACCUCUGAGCCAUCUCCAGCCCGCAGGCAGUUUUAAUCACUGAGCCAUCAUCACUCCAGCUCCCCCCAUUGCCUCUUAAAGGUACCAUCCAUCAACGGUGUUAAAAUGACAAACAACACCAGCUUUGUUUUUUGUUUUUGAGACAGGGUCUCAGCUAUGUAGCUGAGGGUGACUUUGAACUCCUGAUCCUCCUGCCUCUACUUCCCAAAGUGCUGGGGUUACAGGUACGUACCACAAUUCCUGGAUUGCCUCAGGAUUUUGAAAGGACAAUUAUUCAAACCACAGCAGUCCAUCCAAUAUAGUGACCAGCUGUGGAGACUGCCAAGUACUUGAAAUACAUGAAAUAAGUAUGACUGGUUCAGACUCAAUGUGCUGCUCAUGUAAAUAUGCCUAGGAAUUUGGAGACUUAGAACAGGAAACAAACAAACAACAAUAAAAAAGAAAAACAACAGUAAAACCUUUCUUCCUUUUCUUUCCUUUCCUCUCCUCUCCUCUUCUUUUCUUUUUUAGACAGGGUUUUAUGUAUUCCAGGCUGGCCUCCAACUUGCUAUAUAGCUGAGAAUGACUUUGAACUCCCUAUCCUCCUGUAUAUACCUUUUGGGCGUUGGGCAUUACAGCAUGUGCCAUUAAACUGGGUGUACAUUGUAGUGGGGAUGGAAUCCAGGGCCUUCUGAAUGUUAGGCCUCAGUAAAAAAAAGAAAAUUUAAUAUAGAUUCAAUGUUUGAACCAAUAUCUUGAACCUAGUUUUGUUUUUUCUUUUUGAUUCCUUUCUUUCCUUCUUUUUCUUCCUUUCUUUUUUUUCUGAGACAGGGUUUUUCUGCACCUUUGGAGGCUGUUCUGGAAUUCGCUCUGUAGACCAGGCUGGCCUCAAACUCACAGAGAUCCAACUGUCUCUGCCUUCCAAGUGCUGGUAUUAAAGGUGUGCACCACCACUGCCUGGCCCUUUUUGAUUUCUUGAAACAGGGUUUUCUGUGUAUCCUCAGCUGUUCUGGAACUCACUUUGUAGACCAGGCUGGCCUUAAACUCAUGGAGGUCCACCUGCCUCUGCCUCCCAAAUGCUGGGAUUAAGGUGUGUGCUUCCGACUUGUCGGAUCUCUGUGAGUUCGAGGCCAGCCUGGUCUACAGAGAGCCAGGAUAGGCUUCAAAGCUACACAGAGAAACCCUGUCUCGAAAAACAAAAAACAAAAAACAAAGAGGAGGAGGAGGAGGAGGAGGAGGAGGAGGAGGAUGAUGAGGAGGAAGGGAUUGACUUUGUGUUUAUAUGUGCUAUGUGUGUGUGUGAGCCUGCCUGAGCAUAUGUGCACCACAUGAGUGCAGAAGCCUGUGGAAGUCAGAGCAAGUCAUAAUUGGAUGCCCUGGAACUGGGGUUACAGUGGUUGCCAGCUGCCAUGUGGGUGCCAGGAACCAAAGCCAUGUCCUCUGCAGCAGGAGCAGUAGUCAUCUUUGCCUCUGAGCCAUCGUCAACAUCCUCUUCUGCUUUGUUUGGAAACAGGUUCUCUCUAUGUAGCCUUAGCUGGCCUGGAACUUGCUAUGUAGGUCAGGCCUUGACUUUAGAGAUCUUCCUGUCUCUGUCUCCCUUGCACUGUGAUUAGGGACAUGUGCCACCCUGUUUAUUUAUGUACUUAGUAGUCGUUCCAAGAAGACCCCCCUCCCCCCCCACCCCAGGCUGAGAGUUGAACCCAGGCUUUCACGCCAGGCAAAAGCUUCGCCACGGAUCUACACCUCCAACUCUUAGUCUUCUGAGAUGGGUGUUGCUCUUGAAGCCCAGACUGGUGUUGACUUUAUAGUCCUCCUGCCUCAGCCUCCUGGUGCUGCAGCAAUGCCAGACACGCACCUCUACAGUUGGUGGAGUAUUUACUUAAUACGGUUUCCCUGCUCCUGCUCUCUAAAUCAUCUGAUUAUUUAACCAAGGUGGACCUGAGAUCUACACGCAUCAGCUACCCCAGGACCCCAGGUGACUGAUGUGCUGGGAGGUGCAGAGGAAGAAAGACCUUGAGUCCAAUGCACAGAGCUCCCUUCCGGGAUCUGGAAGGUACCGUGUGUUCAGGAGCAGGGGCAGGCUCCUUUGGUCUUCUGCCUUCACUGAAGUUCCUGGGUAACUCGGAAGCUCCUGGUUAGAGGUCCACACUCCUAGUAGCAAAGGCUCAGAGCAGGCUCUCCAUUCCCCUCCCCCUCCUCUGGCUCUCUCUCCCUUCCUUUCUCUUUUUCCUUCCUCUUUCUCCUCCCCCGUCCAUCCCUUUCUUUUCUUUCAUUUUUCUUUUUCCUUCCCUCCUCCUCUUCUUCCUUCUCUUCAUUUUUUGCUGAGAUGGGGUCUUUUUCUGUAACCUCGUUGGCCUGGCAUUUGGUACAGACCACACUGACCUCAAACUUUCAAUUACUCUUCUACUUCUGGUUCCUGGUUCUGGGAUUACAGACUUGUGCUAUGUGCCACCAUGGCAGUUAGGUGCUGAUUCUCAACAUCUGAUCUCAGAGGAGGAGGAGGAGGAAAAGGAGGAAGAAGAAGCAGCAGCAGCACCAGGGAGGGGCAGCAACUGGAAGCCUUAGGCACAUGGAUAUCUCAGGCCUCAUUCCAACCUCUUCCAUCCCGGAGCUCGGCAGCCAUAUGCUCUGAGUCAGCCCUGAUGGAGAUGCUGCUGGCUCCCCGGGUUUGAGAACUUUUAGUUAAUGUUGGAGCAUCUUAUCCUAACACAAAGGCCCUGCCCCUCCUCCAGCAUCUUCACUGGGCAGGCAGUCCCAAGUUAUGGCCUUGCACAGAGGCAGGCCUUCUGUUGCCUGGAGCCCCACCCUGGAUGGCCUGCCUUCUCCCUGCAUCCCCUAGCAUGGCAGCACACAUGGUUUAGCCAGGAUGACAAGAGGGUUCCGUCUAUUGGAGGGUUGACAGGACUCCCAUCACAGCUUGAUUGACAGCCCCCUAAUCAGCAGCAAGAGAAUGGUAUGCCUCUAGAAUGAUGUUUGCUCUGUAAAUAUUUGACAUUAUCUACCCUGAAAACCUGAAAGAGAACUUCAUUUUUCUUUCUUUUUCUGGGAAUACAGCAAGUCACAGAACACCCAUAAGUAUAAUUAGUCUGACAAGGGAGUUUCUGAUUGGGGCUGGGGACUUAACAUGCGUGAGCAAUCACAGGCAUCCAUGUUGGCUUUGUGGUACAUGAGAGUGGUUCAUCUGUGGCCACAGGACUCCCAGUGACGUCAAGGCAUGUUGCAGAUGCUUGGGGAGGACUAGGGCCUGGGAGUCUGCAUUUCAAGCCAGCUCCUGGGAGCUGCUGCUGCCGAGGGGAAGGAACAACAUGACAGGUAGGAGCUGCACAACCUUCUUGCUGCUGAUGCCAAUCUCAAGUCCAGGAAUGGCUCAGAGGUCAUUGAGGGUCAUUUGAUGGGUUUGGGUUUCAAGUCUUAUUCUACAGAUUGCCAGAGGCAUGCCCAGUUCUCUGUUUAUGGACAGCACUAAUAAUCUCUCUCUCUCUCUCUCUCUCUCUCUCUCUCUCUCUCUUUUCUCUCUCUCUCUCUGUGUGUGUGUGUAAUAUUAAAAAUAUAUUUGAGGUGGGGUUUCCCUGUGUAGCCCUGGCACUCAACUCUGUAGACCAGGCUGGUCUUGAAUUCACCGAGAGCUGCCUUCCUCUGCGUCCUGAGUGCUGGGAUUAAAGGCGUGUGACACCAUGCCCCGCUAUAAAAGUACUUUCAUUUAUGUUGUAAAUGUGUAUGGGUAUAUGUGCCACAUUGAGUGCAGGUUAGAGGACAACUUUGAGAGUUGUCUCCCCCUCAUGUGGGUCCCAGGGAUUGAGCUUAUGUCAGCAGGCUUGGCAGCAAGCUCCUUUACCUGCUGAGCCAUCUUGUUGACUCUUAUUUUUAACUUGAGGGGGUUUUCUUUCCACGUCUCUCUCUUCAUAUGAUUUUGUUCAUUUUGUUUUACUUUUUUGAACUGGGGAUUCAACCUAGGACUUCAAACAUGCUAAGGAAGCCCCGGGCCACUGAGCUACAUCCUCAGCCCUACCUUUUAUUUUGAGACACGGACUCACUUUGUUGCUCAGACUAGCUUGGAACACUGGAGCCAUCACAGACCUCAGAAUUAGGAACUUCUUGCCUUAGUUAUGAUUACAGGUCUCAGUCAUCAGACUCAGCUUCCUUAUUAUAUCUAUUUUUUAAUUUUAAAAAAUAUUUUUCUUUCCUUGUCAGUGGUGGUACCAGCCUUUAAUCACAGCACUCAGGAGGCAGAGCAGGCUGAUCUCUAAGUUGUAAGCCAGUCUGGUCUAACAGAGUGAGUUCCAGGACAGCCAGGGCUACACAGAGAAAAAAAUCUAUAUCCAUAUAUCUAUAUC